GUAGUGACGAAAAAUAACAAUGCAGGACUCGUUCGAGGCCCUGUAAUUGGAAUGAGUACACUUUAAAAGCUUUAACGAGUAUCCAUUGGAGGGCAAGUCUGGUGCCAGCAGCCGCGGUAAUUCCAGCUCCAAAAGUAUAUAUUUAAGUUGUUGCGGUUAAAAAGCUCGUAGUUGGAUUUUGGGCGCAGGCGGCCGGUCCGUCGCAAGGCGUGUACUGGACGUCCUGGCCUUCCCUCCGGUUCUCCGCCGGUGCUCUUGACUGAGUGUCGGCGGCGGCCGGAACGUUUACUUUGAAAAAAUUAGAGUGUUCAAAGCAGGCUCUCGAGCCUGGAUAAUGGUGCAUGGAAUAAUGGAAUAGGACCUCGGUUCUAUUUUGUUGGUUUUCGGAGCGCGAGGUAAUGAUUAAGAGGGACAGACGGGGGCAUUCGUACUGUGCCGUUAGAGGUGAAAUUCUUGGAUCGGCGCAAGACGAACGACUGCGAAAGCAUUUGCCAAGAAUGUUUUCUUUAAUCAAGAGCGAAAGUCAGAGGUUCGAAGACGAUCAGAUACCGUCCUAGUUCUGACUAUAAACGAUGCCAACUAGCGAUCGGGGGGCGUUACAUUGACGACCCCUCCGGCAGCUUACGGGAAACCAAAGUCUUUGGGUUCCGGGGGAAGUAUGGUUGCAAAGCUGAAACUUAAAGGAAUUGACGGAAGGGCACCACCAGGAGUGGAGCCUGCGGCUUAAUUUGACUCAACACGGGAAAUCUCACCCGGCCCGGACACAGUGAGGAUUGACAGAUUGAGAGCUCUAUCUUGAUUCUGUGGGUGGUGGUGCAUGGCCGUUCUUAGUUGGUGGAGCGAUUUGUCUGGUUAAUUCCGAUAACGAACGAGACUCUGGCUUGCUAAAUAGUUACGCGACCAUUCCGGUCGGCGUUUAACUUCUUAGAGGGGACAGUGGGCGUUAGCCACACGAGAUUGAGCCCAUACAGGUCUGUGAUGCCCUU
rnacentral:ncRNA from 1 species